CAGGUGAGCACGGAUCCAGGUGAGUUUGGAGCUGCAGGAAUUGCAGGUCCUGGCAGGUGUAAGGAGCAGGGAUUGAAGGUCCUGGCAGGGCUGUAGCUCAGAGUUUGUUCCUGCAGGUCCUGGCAGGGCUGUAGCCCAGGUUAAUAGCUCAGGUUAACCCCUCAAUGCCCGCUGGUCCUGGCAGGGCUAUAGCCCAGGAUAACCCCUCAGUGCCCGUUUACUCAGGAUCGCCCCCAGGUCCUGGCAGGACUGUAUCCCAGGUUUAACCCCCAGGUCCUGGCAGGGCUAUAGCCCAGGUUAACCCCUCAGUGCCCCCAGGUCUUAGCAGGGCCAUAGCCCAGGUUAACCCCUGUGUGCCCACAGGUCCUGGCAGGGCCGUAGCCCAGGUUAAC